GAUGAACGCUGGCGGCGUGCCUAUUACAUGCAAGUCGAGCGAACAGACGAGGAGCUUGCUCCUCUGACGUUAGCGGCGGACGGGUGAGUAACACGUGGAUAACCUACCUAUAAGACUGGGAUAACUUCGGGAAACCGGAGCUAAUACCGGAUAAUAUAUUGAACCGCAUGGUUCAAUAGUGAAAGACGGUUUUGCUGUCACUUAUAGAUGGAUCCGCGCCGCAUUAGCUAGUUGGUAAGGUAACGGCUUACCAAGGCAACGAUGCGUAGCCGACCUGAGAGGGUGAUCGGCCACUCUGGAACUGAGACACGGUCCAGACUCCUACGGGAGGCAGCAGUAGGGAAUCUUCCGCAAUGGGCGAAAGCUUGACGGAGCAACGCCGCGUGAGUGAUGAAGGUCUUCGGAUCGUAAAACUCUGUUAUUAGGGAAGAACAAAUGUGUAAGUAACUAUGCACGUCUUGACGGUACCUAAUCAGAAAGCCACGGCUAACUACGUG
rnacentral:rRNA from 1 species